AUGAACGCUGGCGGCGUGCCUAAUACAUGCAAGUCGAGCGAACAGACGAGGAGCUUGCUCCUCUGACGUUAGCGGCGGCCGGGUGAGUAACACGUGGAUAACCUACCUAUAAGACUGGAUAACUUCGGGAAACCGGAGCUAAUACCGGAUAAUAUAUUGAACCGCAUGGUUCAAUAGUGAAAGACGGUUUUGCUGUCACUUAUAGAUGGAUCCGCGCCGCAUUAGCUAGUUGGUAAGGUAACGGCUUACCAAGGCAACGAUGCGUAGCCGACCUGAGAGGGUGGUCGGCCACACUGGAACUGAGACACGGUCCAGACUCCUACGGGAGGCAGCAGUAGGGAAUCUUCCGCAAUGGGCGAAAGCCUGACGGAGCAACGCCGCGUGAGUGAUGAAGGUCUUCGGAUCGUAAAACUCUGUUAUUAGGGAAGAACAAAUGUGUAAGUAACUAUGCACGUCUUGACGGUACCUAAUCAGAAAGCCACGGCUAACUACGUG
rnacentral:rRNA from 1 species